UACGGAGGAUGCGAGCGUUAUCCGGAUUUAUUGGGCGUAAAGCGAGCGCAGGUGGUUUAUUAAGUCUGGUGUAAAAGGCAGUGGCUCAACCAUUGUAUGCAUUGGAAACUGGUAGACUUGAGUGCAGGAGAGGAGAGUGGAAUUCCAUGUGUAGCGGUGAAAUGCGUAGAUAUAUGGAGGAACACCAGUGGCGAAGGCGGCCUGCUGGACGGUGACUGACGCUGAGGCUCGAAAGCGUGGGGAGCAAACAGG
rnacentral:rRNA from 1 species